rnacentral:lncRNA from 1 species
AUGGACUAAAUCUCUUAAACUGACUGGAAAUUCCACCUGCAGCUCUGUGAAUAACCUGUGGCAUUCAAAGCCACUUAAGAUUGUCUGGGGAAUCUUGCUGCUUGUGAUGGGCAAGAGAUCUGGCCCUGGGGGUCACAAGAGUGAGAGAACUAGCCCUGCCCCACACCAGCUGCAGCGCACAGGAGAGUGAGCCCUACACCCAGCCUGGCAGCACACGAGAGCUGACCCUGUUGUCAGAAUACAAGUGAGCCAGCCCUGAGGGCAUGAGAGCAGGAGAGCUAAACCCACUCAUACUCCCCCUACAGCAAUCAGGAGAGAGGGCCCUGCUUCUUGCCUGGGGGAAACAGUAGAG